AUUCCAGUUGGAAAGGAUUCCAGCUCUGGCCCAUUGCAGGGAGGGGCAAAAGGAAAGGGAAAGUAAGUUACUGAAAUGCAUAGACCUUGUCUUCUUAAUUAUUUUGCAUUUGGCCAUCAUUCCUUGUCUCAGAAGCUAAUUAUUCCAAGUCAGGAGAAUUGUUCCACCUCAGAGUUAGCUGCAAGCAAAACGCUGACAACCUGUGCUGGGAACAACUGUUUCCUGUGCCUAGCUAGGCAAUGGAAGAUCAUUCUUUCUCAGAACUAACUCAGCCAGUCAGAGCAUGGAAUGACUUAUUAAAUCCUCAGGAUGUGUAAGACUGUGGAGAAGCAGUCUUGCCAGAACCAUGCUGUAAGAUGAUCCCAGGAAAAAGAGACAGAAUGGACACACACGCAAAGAAGACUCUCCGCCCAGUGCAGACUCAAGGCCAUGUGACCUUCUCCACACAGUGAGCCCACAGGUCCCAAGACCUCCAUUCCAGAGAGGGCCCUGCCCGAGACUCAGAAGGAAGGAAUGCUCCGCAGAAAGGCCAAGAAGAAUCUAACCAGACAGGCCUUGCUGCAUUUCCCCGCUCAGUCUAUUACCAUUAUAUUACACAUUUUUUGUCCAAUCAUAUUUCUACAUGGCUGUCCAUACAUUGUUAAACCUAGCAUAAAAAUGGACAACUUUCCCUGCAUCUUUAGGUCUUCAUUAGAAGGCUGCUGUGUCACAUAAAACUAUGACCCAAUAAAUUUAUAUGCCUUUUCUUCUAUUAACCUGCCUUUAGUCAGUGAUUUUUCAGUGAUCCUUCAGAGGUCAAAGGGGGGGGGGGGUUUUCCUUGGCCCUUACAAGAGCCC
rnacentral:lncRNA from 1 species